rnacentral:lncRNA from 1 species
GAGCUGCUGCUGCAGGCCUACACCACAGGCACCGCAACACCAGAUCCAAGCUUCAUCUGUGACCUACACAGUGGCUUUUGGCAAUGCUGGAUCCUUAACCCACUCAGCGAGGCCACGGAUUGAACUCACACCCUUACAGACAUUAUGUCAGGUUCUUAACCCACUGAGCCACAAUGGGAAUUCAGAAAUUAACUAAAGUUAAGUAAUUAGGAGUUAGGCUAAAAUCUCUUUACCCAAAAUGUAAACAAUAAAAUAUUAAUUUAACUUGGUCUCUCCAAUUUCUCACUCUUCCUUUCCUGCCUCCUUAUGGACUGGAGGGGUUAUUUUAAUUGCUAAAGACCUAUGAGGUUUGAUGCUGAUUAUAUGUACAAUCAUACCAAAUACGUAAAUGUGAAGAUCACUGAAAACCGGGGGAAAAAGAAAGACGGCUCCUGGAUUAGAACGUGAAGCGCAGAGAAAACAUCACCAAAACUUUUGCCUCUGCCCUGAGUAGGGGUCAAGACAAGUAAAGGCAAGGCUGACAUCAACGGCCCCUGAGGUAUAAAAAGUCACCCCUUGGUGCUGGUCAUGAGUACUCCUACCUUUGCAGACUAUCACGAUGGUGGUCUACCUGCUAACUAGAAGGGCAGAGGGCACUGGAAUCAUAUGGUCUAGGUUCAAAUAAAUCAUGGGUCAAGCAUUUAUUAGCUAUGUGACCAUGAAAAUCUUAGUGUAAAGGAAAGUAAUAAUACUGAAUAUCACCUAUAAACCUCAUUUAAUUGUGAGAAUUCAAGGAGAUCCUUUGAAUUCAAUGAACCCAAAGUACUUAGAGUGUCUGGCACGCGGCAACUGUUAAAAUGUUAUUAUGGGGUUACAGCUGCUCUUAGAGACGGAGCCGGGUCCUUGAUCACUCCAAUCCUGAAUGACACCAGAGGAUACAGCCAACCUAGAAUGCAAGGGAACUGUUCUGGAUGACCAUGACUCAGUCAAGGUUGCCCUGUAUUAACCUAACCCCUUGAGUCUAGGUUGAGAUCACUGUACACAAGGGGCACAGGAAAGAGUGCCUGCUUGCACUUCCUUAAUGAAAUUUCCUCAUUAAUUGAUAAUUGUUAUGCACGGCAUGUUUCUGUCUCCCCCAAAUUCAUGUGUUGCUAUAAGAGGGGGCUUCUAAGGAAGUAGUUAAGAGUUAAAUGAGGCCAUAAGAGUGGGCUUCUACCCUUAUAAAAGACAUCAGAGUGCGCUUGCGCUCUCUCUCUCUCUCUCUCUCUCUCUCUCUCUCUCUCUCUCUCUCUCACACACACACACACACACACACACACAGUGCACAGUGAGAGGGUGAUCAUCUACAAGCCAAGAGAAGAGGUCUCAGUGAGACCUACCUUGCUGACACCUCGAUCUUGACACCUCCAAUAAAUAAAUACAUUUGUGGUGUAAGCCACUCGGUCAGUGGUAUUUUGUUAUGGCAGACCGAGCCGACCAAUACAAUAAUUUAACACAGUCUUACAAAAGUACAUCAAAUUUUUGGGAUGAGGGAGAAAAGGUGCCAUGAAAAAAAUUCUGUGUUUUGAUUCAGGAAAUCCAUACUCCUGCACCAGUUGUCACAUCUUGUAGUCAUGUAAUCUUGGCCAAUUUAGUUAACCUUUUAGAUCCUUCUUUCUUUGCCCAGAAAAUGAAGACAAUAAUUCCUCCUAACCAGGGCUGUUGUAACCAGAUGUCUGUCAUAGUAGGUACUCAAUAAAUUGAUUUUCAAAAGAUAACAGGAUCAAGGGGAAAUCCUGCCAGGAAGAGACCAUAAUAAUUAUUGUAUCUCAUAAUUCUGUAUUAUCACCUAAAGCAGAACAUUAUAAUACUCACACUGCGCUUCACUGUAUUAAUAUUAAGGAAAUAUUUACUGAUGGCCUGAAUGUUUAUUCUUUUUUUGUUUGUUUUUUGCCCUCUUGUCUUUUUAGGGCCACACCCAUGGCAUAUGGAGGUCAAAUUGGAGCUGUAGCGGCUGGCCUACACCACAGCCAUAGAACUCGGGAUCCAAGCCGGGUCUGCGACCUACACCACAGCUCAGCUCAUGGCAAUGUUAGAUCCUUAACCCACGAGCAAGGCCAGGGAUUGAACCGGUGUCCUCAAGGAUACUAGUCUGGUUCAUUAACCACUGAGCCAAGAGGGGAACUCCUGAAUGUUUAUUCUUUUCUUACAGUAUCAUUAGUGACUGAGACGACUUUUUCAGUGUUUUAAUCAAUAAUUUAUCAAAGAACAUUGAUGAGUCUGUGCUAUGUUUGGGUUUCCAAUUCAAUGAAUACCCAAAUACACACGGCUUGCUAUGAUGGACAAGGCAAGGUGUCUAUUCUAGUUUAUUUAAUAGUUAAAAAGGAGCUGUGUGGCUUACAAUUUUUAAUUGUCUACGCAAAGUGAAGACAUAUGAGAAAAAUUUAUCUGGUAUCAGUAUCGAGGUGAACUUUAUUUUUACUGAAAACUGGCUUUACAGACUCUACAUUUUAAGCCUAUUUAGUGUCCCUUUUUUAGGUUGGCUGCUAGAAAGCGAAGAUCUAAAUUCGGGGCCUCUCUCUAGGGAGUAUCUAGGCCUUGUUGGCAUGAAUUUUGAUCAUUCACAUCACUUCUAACUUCAAGUACCAUCCCCACCUUUGUUUCCCAUUGUCUCAUGCUCACGCUUACUAAUUUAUCCACAUACACACCUCAAUCACCAGGACUAUUACAAAAAGACAUAAUAAAUGUAGCUAGGAACUGUUUUCAAAAUUGAAUCUAUUUGUAUAUUUCAAUAGCCUUUGGGCAGCAUGGCUGUGAAAAGCAACUGGUUCCAGGUACAAAACAAGUAAUGUCAAACCUUGCCAAAUAUUUUCUUUUCCUUUAGCCUUCAACUGUAUUGAUUCCAAGAAAAGAAAGGAUUUCAUAAAUACAACAGAAAAAGUACCUGUAACACAACUCAAGAAAAACAUUAAUUAUUCUUCCUUCUCUAAGGAAUUGCAUAUGAAUAAUAUGGAAAUAAUAUGGUCAAAUUAUAUUAUCUUUGAGACAUGGUCAAAUUUCCAGCUACUGUCAAGUCUCAGCAGCAGACAUGGUUAAGUGCAUCUGACAUAUUCUUGGACACAGAUAACUUUCUCUGGCAGAUCCUACACGCAGAUCCUGUGCAGUGUAUUGAAAGGGUGGGAUGAAUGUUUUUUAUUUGUUGAACAUCCAUAGGUUAUAAAAUCAGAUGUGAACAAUGUCCUUUAACAAGUUUAGAAUUCAUUUGAUCAGAAAGAUUUCAAGUCUCAAAUCAACCUCUAUGUUAAAGGUAAAAGCAUCAUCUAUCAUAAAUGUUACUAAAAUUUUAAACAAUGAAUUAGAAUCUAAAUACCAUUUUCAAUGACAAUUUGAUUAACCAAUCACAUAUGAUUUAAUUUAAUCUUUGGUUUUCAAUACAUCUAAAUGCUGGAGAAUGUGUGUUUGGGUUCAUAAUUUUGGGAAAACCUUCAACACUGACCGAUAUCUAACAUGGGCAGAUUAGCUUGAUUUCUGUAUUCUUUACACCUGUAUAAAUAAUCUGAAGAACACGACUUAAUGCAACCAGCAGUAAUUCACCUUGAAAAAAAUUAUAAUUAAAUCUUUGAAAUGUGCUUUUGUUUCAGUUUUGAAAGCAGUUUGCCAAAAUCUGCAGGCCCACAAAUGGCCUUAAUUCAUACACUGUUCACUGACUCCACAUUUACUGGUGGUAUUUGGAACCUCACUUUCAUUCUCUCUGAUAUAUCUCUGAAGGGAAAAUAAUUUGUUUAAAAAUCUUAUUAUGAAUUCUUCCUUAGCGCAGCUUCUCAUCAAAACAAACGAAAGUAGAGAAAAAUAAGCAAAAACAAUCAAGCAAAAAAAAACACAAAGGAGAUUACAAAAUUAAAUAUUUUAUCAUACCGUCUAAUUUAUCAGGCUUGCUCUGAUUUCAUUAAAGGCCUUAGACAAGGUGCCAGAACUAAUUUUAUUGCAGCAUCUGCUCUCUGCUUUGAACAGGGGUAUACAAGCAAAUUGUAAUAUUGCUUUUAAUCAAUAAUGAACAGUAGAGAGAAGAAAAUGCUUUAAUAAUGCCUUAAGUAUAUACAUUAUUUUGUUCCUCAAAGCUUAUCAUUUCAUCCUCAUAAUAUCCUUAUAAUGUGCGAGGAGCAUGUGGAAACUGAGAGUCAGAAAGGUUAAGCAAUUGUCAAAGCAUGCUUUCAAAAUGACACAAUCAAAUCAGUGAGUAGUGCCCUGGGCUCCUGUCUCCUAGCACAAGGCCAUUUCUGAGGACCACAAAGGAUGCUAUAAACCAGUUUUAAGAAACCAUGCAUGGGAUUUGUGGGCAGAAGACAUAGGUGUAAGACAUCCUCUGCCACAACUGACCUUGGGUGUGGUUCCCUUACCUUCUCUGGGCUUAAAUUUCCUCAAAUGUAAAAUGUGGAAAAUAAAGGUGCCAGCCCCAUUUUUAUACCACUCAGUUGGUGAGCCAAAAAUUGAGGUGACAUGUGAACGUGGGGGACACGACAAUUUUAAGCCACCAAACAGUAGAUGUUGAUGUUGAUCCUAGGGGACAAAUCAGUCCUGUUGGUAAAGAAACAAAAACAGAUGAAAUUAAAAGGCCUGAGCCCUAGCUAAUACUCUGUACUUCCUUAAGGGCCCUGACUAAGACUAAGACUUAUCUCCAAAGUAACCCAUCAGAAAUCUUUCUACCCAAAUAAUGUGAAUUUAUUCUAUGGUUAAUCCAGGUCAGCCAAAACCUUCCCUCCACAUCCAAAUUAUAUUCAUUUUAUGUUUUAAUGAGAAAUCACUUUAGCAUCCACCCAACUGUGAGAUUCCAUUCACAAGGACCUGCAAUGGCGGGGAGACUCUCUACACGCGUGUCCCACCAAGCUGUGGGGGGAAGGUGCGUCCUGUAAGGGAGGUUUACUGUGCGUCCAGCGCAGGCCCUGCAACAUCUCCACCCCGGAAGCUGAAAAAGGCAUCACUUCUGCUGUGUCUGGCACAGUCUACGGUAAGGCUUAACCUUCAGUUUAGUAAACAGGAGGGCACCCAUGAAAAAGACACCACCAGGAUCACUAGAGGAGUUCUUAAUUGUUGAGAAUCACUGAUACCCUUAAAAACCCUGAACUGUUCACAUCUGCUUGUCCAUAAAAAUGACAGAACUCCAAGUUGGAAGACACACACCAGAUUCACCCUCAGUGUUUUCUCCUGCGUUUGGACCAUGGCCCUUUGGAUGAUUGCCGUGCCUUCUCUUCAAAUUUCUUAACAAUAAAAUCCAUUUUUCAGAACCUGGAGAUGCGUAAACAGGAGGGUGGAAACACUGUAAUAAAUAAGCCUCUGGAAAACCUUAUUGCAUUGCUUGCUCCUUGACUUGUUCCAUAAAAUAGAUCUUCCUUUCUUUUCUCCGCAUGGAGAAAGAGGCACAGAGAGUGGAACUCCUUACUCAUGAGAAAAAAAAGCAAGAGAAAAGACAUAAUACGGACACAGUACUCAGAACCAAAAAAUUCAAGCACAUCAUAUGGAAAAUAUUUAUAAAUAGUACCACCUCACCAAGGGUUUACUAUAAAUGGAGGGUUUCCAUAUUAAUGUCAGCUUAUUUUCUCUGACAAAAACAUCUCAAGGAAAAUUUCAAGUGACUAUGUUACUAAUUCAUUUAAUUUCUAUGAGAUACAAAAUAAGGGUAGAGUAGAAAACAUUUAUACUUAAAGGUUCUGGAUGGAAAAUUUUUAUUUUUAUUAGGCAUUAAUUAAACUUGACCUACACAAGUGAAUCCACAUCGAACUAAAACAUUUAGUUCUAAAUUGUUUCACUACCCUUUCUUUCAUGGAACAAAGAAAAUAGCUGUAACUCAUCAAAAGCAAUAAAUUUGAAAUGCU